ACUUCCCUUUAAUCUCUCAACCGAUCUAACAGAUGAAGAGAGUACCCUCGGAUGAUCAUCAUACGAGCUGAGCAGUCCGCAUCUGGUUCAGCAAGUACGUCUAGGGUUAAUUGGUUUAUUGUCAUCACCAGUCAAACGCAUUCAUUCAGGAGUUGUUAUAGGUGUACUCCAUUGAUCCUCGUUUCACCUCUCUGAUUUUAUUCAAUCAAUUCGGUUGUUGCCGAGAGUUUUGGAAAGCUAGAAAGGUUUUAUUUGGAUUAUUUCAUUCAAAGGCCGUGUAUGACAACAUCCAUAGCAACAGGCUGAUUCCCAUUUGCAUCAUCCAAUAAUCGUUGUGACAUCAUUCUCAUUUGGUUACCAUGGCAAACUGCGGCUGGUUAUGGAGCAUUGUUUGGAUCAUCCUCCUCCUCGUGAUUGGCUGGCCGAUCGGUCUCCUAUGCGGCAUCCUCUACGCCAUCUUCUGUGCGUUCCCACCCUGUUGCCCCGGUUGUAACGAUCUAGUGAACUUUAUACACCGAGGGUUGGACCUUCCCCGUACCUGUGCUACCAACAUGGUUGCCCAGCGCUCUGGCUGUUGAAUAGGGGUGUAGGAUAGGGGCGUGGUGGGGGCGCAUGAUGUACUUGUAGCGUGUUAGAACAAUGGAGAGUGAUUGGAUGAACGGAAUGCUGAGCUGGUAUCUCUACAGUCUUCUAAUUCUGGCUGGCGAUCAAGGAGGUUCUACCAUGUAGAAACCGAAUUACCGUCUAAACGUUUGUGAUUUAGACUUUUUGAUUGAGGGUAUUCAAAGGACUGCUAUCUUCCAAUGUAAGCUAAUAAUUUGCCAAAAUUUUCAGAUUUCGUAUGAGCCAUAAAUAAGUUGUGUGUCCCAGUGACGGACCGUGACCUGGAGGAGAAAAUUGAUUGGAGGGGCACUGAAUCGUUUGUGAACAAUGCUGUGCCCCCCAUGCUUUGUCUCCUCCGGGUCAUGGUCCACCACUGGUGUAUCCUAUACACAUCUUCACCAUUGAAAUCAGAAUGCCCGUUAAUUACAUGUUCUUAAAAGAUAUAAAUUGUUGUUUUUAUUGCUAUUCUAUUUGCCUGUUCAAAUGAUGAUCCACAUUAAAACACGUUUUUGUUAAAAUGAAAGCAAAUGCAAGGAAACAAAUGAUUAUCAGUGUUAUAUUCAGCUGAGGACUGGGAUGUACAUAUGGUCUGUGUUUGAUUAGAAAACAGUAGAUAGUUCAUUAAGCUGCCUAUGUAAUAUAUGUAUCCUAAGUGUAUAAUACAGGUAUAUUAAUGAUAUGUUUUCAAAGAGGCUCAUAAAUGUACCACUUUCAAAGAGUCUGCAGUCAAGAGAUGUCAACUUUUUUGUCUGCCUUUUUAUAUAUUCACAUACCUAUAAAACAUUAUAGCCACAGCUUAAUGUAGAUAUGAUUUCCCUUAACUUGAUACUGUUUAAUUCAAUAUAGUAUAUUUAUUUGUUUUCUAUUCUUCCAUCUCAACAUUAACUCUUUUUAUAUCAUAGAUGUUCAUUGUUAUAAAUAUAUUUAUGCAUCUUGUAACAAUUAUUAUCUUUUAUAUGAAUAAUUUUUCACAAGGUUCACAGAAAUAUUUCUUUCAAGUGUUAUAUUCGAUUAGGAUCUUAAUGGGCUAAGAGAACCUUGAAAUUAUAUUCUUCCAAUUUUAUGUGCCAUCAAAUUGAAAUGGAAGUAGUUAGCGUCAUCUAAAAGAAAAGUAUUACAUGACACUAUGGAAAGAGGUAAAUUAUUAGGAGGAAAUCCAUGAUACAAAUUCUGACUCUAAAAGUUAACAAUGAUUCAUUGAAGAAAUAAAUAGCCUUCAAGCUUCUUUCUCAUCGUGCAUUUUCACAAGAUCAAAGAAUGAUCGACUUUCAUGAUAUGGUGCUCUCUACUAUUUUGAAGAAUAUCUGUGGCUUCCUAAAUGUAAUAGAAUUACAACUAAGUAUUCAACGAAUAUAGUAUUUUAACAUCAUCUUUUUUUGGGGGGGGGGAAGGGGGCAUAGACACAUUAACAUACAAUUUUUUUUUAAGAAACUCAAAAACGAGGAAGCAAAGCAACCAAGCUUGUCAAGGGGACACUUUGCAUACAUUUUCUUAAGUGAACUUGAAGGAUUGUAUGGAGUCACACUUGGUGAAUUUUGUGAAAAAAAAAGCCAGUAUCAAAAAAGAAAAUGUAACUUUUCAAAAUGUCUACAUAAUGCCAUGAACCAGUGAAACAGGCUGUCUGGAUUAGCAGCUAUUGCUAUUGUGUGUUCCCCUUUUAUCACAGUUAUCAUUUUCUUGUUACACAUGAUAUUGUCUUUGUAUGUGUAUAUUUUUUGGGGUAAAUAGGUUUCAACUACGCUUUCAACUUUAACCUGAUGUACUUCUACUAUUACAGUGGCUAGGAUUGAGCUAUCGUCUUACGAGACGUGAUACUCAGAUAGAGUAGGAGUUAAUACAUCCUGACAGACAGCCAGGCAAGCCAUUCCAAUAAUUGCUUCUUCCUCCCUCCUAUCCUCUGGGAUACUACAGGUCAUUUACACA